GGCUACAGCCAUACCACCCUGAACAUGUCCGAUCUCAUCAGAUCUCAGAAGCUAAGCAAGAUUGAGCUGGUUAGUACUUGGAUGGGAAACCACCUGGGAAUACUGGGUGAUGUAGGCU
rnacentral:rRNA from 1 species